rnacentral:rRNA from 1 species
UACGUAGGGUGCGAGCGUUGUCCGGAAUUAUUGGGCGUAAAGAGCUUGUAGGCGGUUUGUCGCGUCUGCCGUGAAAAUUCGAGGCUCAACCUCGAACUUGCGGUGGGUACGGGCAGACUAGAGUGUGGUAGGGGAGACUGGAAUUCCUGGUGUAGCGGUGAAAUGCGCAGAUAUCAGGAGGAACACCGAUGGCGAAGGCGGGUCUCUGGGCAGUAACUGACGCUGAGGAGCGAAAGCGUGGGGAGCGAACAGG